rnacentral:ribozyme from 1 species
UGCCCAGCAACUCCUAUCCCUACCUCCUCGUGGUACUGGCCGGGGUACGAGUGACCUUGGGGAAGAUCGGGUAACCAACCCCCGGUGGGAACUUUGGUCGUAUGCCGACAGGGAAGG